CUGGUUCCAAUCUGCCAUGUGGCACCCGGCUGUCCAAUCUCUGUAGGUUUAGGGUGCUGAAGGAAGGGAGGGCAGGGAGGGAGGAGAGCAGGGUGCUGCGGGCCAAUCCGCGCCGCGCAGUCCUGGAAAGCCACUGCGGCCCUGGAGAGCACUGUGCUGCAUUGUGCAAUGCACUUGUAACUCUCACCGCUACCAGCAGCGCCGGGAGCUGGCAGCAUCGCUGCGCCGGGAGAGCAGCUCCGGCUUCUUGGCAUGGGCUGCUGGGCAGGGAGCCACAGGGGCUCAGCCUCCGCUUGGGUGGCUCAUGGGCGGACAUGGCAGGGGAUGCCCGCUGGCAUCGGUCGCUUUUCUUGUCCCUGUGUGCGUCCUGGAGCUCGGUUGCAGAGCAAAUCGCUGUGGAUGGGCUCAACUGCUCUGUGCUCCGCUGAGAUAAUUGACCGGAGGGGAACGGUGAGAGCUCGCUGAAAACCGCACGUCGUAGCCUUCAUGUCCAACUGUCAGUUAUUCGGUGGUUUCAUGAAAGAUUUAUCCCGAGGGAAAAACAAACAAACUGUGCCCACGAACUGUGCCCUGUCACCUCCACAAGCCAAUGCCAGGCGGUGCGCUGGGAACGCUGCCCUGACCACGGCCACGCUGUGACCCCCAUCCCUGCUGGUACCCAGAGCACUGGGGCACGGCACACAGCUGUGAACACAGCGACCGUGGGCAGCGCUGCGUGUCCCCGGCACCGGCUGCGGAGAGAAAGUUUGGAUGAGGGCCACGUUCUGGGGCAGCGGCAUGGAAAAACUGGGUCAGAGCUGGAGCAGAGCCAGCGCGAUGCCCACGGCACUGCAGACCUUCAGCACUGGGAAGUGGCUGUAAAGCUCACAGCAAUCCUGGGCAAACAGUGGAGGAGAGGGUGCUUGGUGUGUGCGUCCCAAUGGGUGCCUCAUCCCUGGAGGUGCCCGAGGCCAUGGGUGGGCCCCGGGCAGCCUGAGCUGGGGGGCAGCCAGCCCACAGCAGGGUGGCACGAGGUGGGCUUUGAGGUCCCUUCCAACCCAACCAACCCAACCACCAUGCUGUGGUUUCAUGAUCCUGUGUUCACCGUGCUGGGAGGAAAGGUCGCUCACCAGCACAUGGGCUGAGUGCGUGGUCUCAGUGGCCACUUCUUCAUGGUAGAGUCAUAAAUCAGGAAGCUGAUUUCUGAAAGAUGCAAGUCCAGAGGACGCCUGCUGAAAAGACAAAACAAGUCUGUAGCAUGAUUUUGUGUUUGUGCGUUUUUUUCCUUAGCUUUGGACUAGGUUUUGUAAUAUUGAUGCAGUUGGUUUUCUUUCCAUCGCAAAUCACCAGGUUCACCCUUCGGUUUGGGCUGAAUUUGUUCUGCUGAUUUCAAAAGUCCCUUCCGCCAGAGUUACUCCCUCCUCUUCAUGCCCCAGUCACGGCAAUGCUUUGGCAGCAUUAAGCACGCUCCCCACCCUAUCCCACUGUGGUGAGAGCCAAGAGCUUCACUGGGGUGAGCAGCCCUCCCAGUGCCAUGUGCUCUGGGCAAGAGGAGCACUUGGACUGGUGCUGGCCCUCCGGCACUCAGCGCUUUGCUCACCCUGGGCUCACCCAGAGGACGUCCCAGAGGUGAUGCCCAGGGUCCUGGUGCGGCCAUAGGACCUCCAUGAGCCAAAAUCUGGGCGGAGGGAUGGAUCCGUGGGGAGUGCCAGCUUUGGGCAAAGGGUGCACGUGGCUGACACAGCGACCGCGUCUCGGUGCCGUUGGCUGAACCAAAGACGGCGUGUAAGCCAGGCACAGCAAAGAACCUCAGCCCAGCUUUGGAAAUGGUUUAAAGCCAGAAAUAGACAUAUUUCUUUUCAUUAGGAAGGAAUUCUGUUCGUGCUUCUUCACGUCCCCCCAUCACUUCUCACAUCAGCUGUCUGCUGUGCGUUUUCACAUCUGUGCUGCUAUGGUUACCGAGAGCCUGAAAGGUUCUAAAUCUCCCUCAAAGCAACGGAGGAUUUUGGAGGUAAUCUCGUUAAGAGAUGAGCAAUGAAUAUUUCCAAAGGCCCUUUGCAUGAGUCUCUCUCCCUGUGUUAGCUGAUGGCCACUGGCAGGAGGGAGCGCAGAGCAGGGGGACCCUGUGCGAGGGCAGGAGGGAGAGCAGCUCAGCUGCCAUUGCAGCCUUUUGUGUCCGGAGCCUAAAUGCCAUAUUUUGGCUUGGAUGGGUCAGGUAGGGCAACAAAUAGCAGUGACAUCGCGCUGAGCUCGCCCUGCUGCCCAUCCCUCUUUUAGCAAGUGCUCCGUGGCAGCAGUUGGACAGCGGAGGAUGUCACUUGCCAGACAGCCACCUGGGCCGACCCAGCGCCCACCCCGCCUGCUCUGCCUCCUGCUUCUGCCCAUGGAUAAAUUCAUGGUGUACACGAGGGCGGCUGCGUGUGCUGCUGUUCCAGCCGAGCUGGGAGCAGGGAGGCAACGAGAAACCCUGCCCCUGAUGCAUAGAUGUACCGGCGCUAUAUGUGCUCCGUGUCACCGUCUGGAACAGUGUGUUGCGGAGGAUCCUGUUCCCGGCGCCGCGGGUACGUGCUGCCCCGACAGGGAGGGCUCGGCCGCACGGUGACCCCACAGCCGGAUGGGGUUGGUAAUGCCAGGAUUAGCAGCAGCAGCGAGAAGCUUGCCUCUCUCUGGGCCACCGACACGGCUUUUCCUAAGGUGACGCCGGGUGAGGCUGUGCAGCCGUGCUGCAGGGUCAGCAGCGGGUGACAGCCGUAGCACCGGGCAUCCUGGAGUCUGUGUCCCUCGUGUGCAGGGGUGCAGCCUGUCCCCUUCCCAUGCUCUGUACGGGCAGGGGAUGUGCUGCAGGCUUCCAGUGCUCCCAGUGCUCCCAGCAGCCACCUCUACUUAGCCUUGCCCACUGCGGUGGCAUUGAGGAAGGACACACAGCACUGGCGCAUGACGUGAUCUCUCUAGCCAGGAGCACGAGGCUUCAUCUUGGAGCUGAGCAUCCUCCUCGAGGGCUGAGCAUCCUCAAGGGCUGAGCGUCCUCCUCCAUGCAAGGCUGCAGCCCAGAAGUGAAGGGCUCAUGGCUGUAUGGCUGAUGUUGGCAUGAACACCCCAAAGCAGGAGUGGUUCUGCUGUCCUGGGUCAGGACGCGGGUGCUGGAUGUGUCCCACCUCUCCUCUGGGCUCCCGUGCCCUAGCGCAGCGCUCUGUGCUGUGCCCCUUCCAGCAGCAGGGAGAUGUCCCUCUCUCGCCCUGAAAACCGAGCGCUUUCUCUUUUCAGGCCGCACAGAAAUGUCACGCUGUAAACACCCCCCGGUGCCGCUGCCUUUCCCCGCGGUCCCUCUGACCACACAACCACGAUUCCUAGGGCCACCAUGGCGCAGUCCUCAGCGGCCCCUUGUCCUUCAGAAGCAAAAAGCCCUUUGCAUUAUGCGGCAAAAGCAACGUCAGUGUUGGCCCACACGCCUCGGCCGUUGCUUCUGCUGCCAUGUCCGUGGGCAAGCUCCUUCCUGCUCAGGGCGUGCGCAGGGGGAGCUUUACCCGGAGCCAAGCAGCAUCACCCUGAGUGCUGCUGACAGCGCUGCAGGAGAUCCGCCGGCUCCGUGCGCACCGGGGCACUGCCGCCUGUCAGGGCUCCUCAUCCCCACGUCCCCAAAACGCGUUCUGUCAGCAAGCAGCAGCAGCAGCAGCAGCAGCAGCAUCGUGUGACCCCGCAGUGCUGGCGGCGAGGCCGAUCCGCUGCCUGCCACCCAGACGCUGUCUCCGGGUUCGUUUUGCAGGAAGCUGCGCCACGGCCCUGCCCCGUGUUUAGGGGAGGUCGGAUCCCACUUCCACCCAGCGGCACCGGGAGGGGGUGCUGAGCCAAGGCCAGGGUGUGGAGCGCUGUCCCCAGCUCAGAGCGCCGAGGCAGACCCGUGAAGCAGAAACGACGCGUUCUGGCAGCUGACAUCUCCAGGAAGAGUUCAGCAUGAAGAACAAAAUCACCCUACGGUGAGUUCGUGUUCCCAAGCUGCCGCCCUACAAACCCAGACCGCUCGUGGUGCCAAGGAGGAGAAAACAAAGGAGGGGAGGAGGUUUGUCCUGCGUCUGUGUACUGAGUGCCAGCGGGGCAGGGUGACACGGCACAGCCCCCAGCACCGUGCAGCACUUUGCAAAGGGACAUCGGCUCCACAGCAGGGACAGAGGGGGACGAAGGGCUCCUCUGGGCCGUGCUGGCUGCCGGUUCGUGCCCUCCCUGCCCUCGGCACAUUUCUGGCAGCAUUUGCUGUGCAAUGGCAAAGCACCACUGGGCAGAACCAAUGCGUUUGCCCUCCCUGAAGCGGGAGGCUGCAGCUCGUGCCAUCGAGGCGGCAGCUGAGCGCGUUGCCCUGCACCCACUGAGCUUCUGGGGCCGUCCCACUCUGCUGCACCUGCUGCAUUGCUGCAGCUGUCACUGCGCAGAUGCUCAGAGCUGGGGUUACCCUGCACGAGCCCUAUGGGCGGCAGCAGCAGCAUCCCAGGGGAGGAAGGCUCCUGCUCGUGCCAGCACGGGAGAUUCUCCAGCCCUCCCGCUUCCCUGUGCAGCUCCUCGGAGGCUGAGCAGCACUGAGGGUCUCAGGAGAGAGGCAGGCGGAAAACGGGUUUAUUUCUCUCUGUGGCACAACGGAGCAUUAAAUAUCUUCAAAGAGACUCGCUGAUUGCAGCUGCUGGCAUGGGGAGCUCUGUGCUCGGAGAGGAGGAGGAGAAGGAUGGUGAUGGUGAUGAUGCAGAGCAGUUUCCCAGCCCUGACGCCUUGUCCCAGCGCGGCCGGGGGACAGAGCCAGCCCCAGGGCUCACAGCAUCUUCUGCUGCUGCUUUUGGUUCUCGUGAAGGACAAACAGAGGCAGGCGGCCGCCCGGAGCUGGCUCACGGCAUCAGCGCUAUCAUGCAACGUGUCCUAUUUGAUCUUCAGAAACAAAGAGCGGCGCGGCACGCAGCCAGCUCGCUGCGGAGGGGACGAUGCUUCGGGAAGGCCGCGCCGGGGACCCCCACGCAGCCCCAGCGCAAGGCCGGGGCCUCCCCAUGCAUCACCCCACAGCCGGCCCGCGUCCCAAAGAUUUCGGGUGGCAGCUUUGUAGGGUCAGGCGUGGCCAUGGGGGCUGCCGUCCUGUGUGCCACCCCCGCCCCACGCGGGCUGUGUGUCGGGGUGCUGGGCCUCAGCAGCACCCAGCGGGCAGCAGCCACCGCACGCUGCUCCCCAGCCCCAGCCCCAGGGGUCCCCGCUGACCCCGCCGUGCCCAGCGCGCUGAAGGAAGGACGGCUCCGAGAGCCCUCAGCCCCGCGCUGCUCUGCAACGGCCCCGGGAAGAGGCGCUGCAUCAGAGCCAUGAAGGCCGCGGUGCAGAAGGAGAAGCACGGAGAAGCAGCUUCGCUCGCGUCCUUUCCAGGCUCCGUUAGGGAGGAGCUCGGUCACAGGCAGCGCCCGGACUUGGGCCUCACCAUGGGAACGCUGUCUGUCUCUCUGCACAGGCUGCGGCUCCCUGUGCAAAAAAUAAAAAAGAAAUUAGCAGCGCUAAUGAGGUGGAGCUGGGAGCGCGGAACGCGUUCUGCUCGCUGCUGCCCGCGGGCACCUCCGGGCGCGGCUGCAGCCGGGGCGGGCGGGACGGGAGCUGCCGCUUUCCUGCUCGCUCAGCCCCCGGGAGCUGCGCGGCUGUUAUUGUAGGGACGAACAAAAGCACCGCGCCGAGCGUGGCCGUGCUGGCGUUCAUCCGCCCGCUCGUGCAUUUCUCUCUCCGUGCCUCGUUCGCCAAGUGCUGCCCUACAAUCAAAGCCGGAGCAUUAAGUUGGGGAACCAGAAGGCGACGCUCAAGCCCGGCACUGGAGCAACUCCUUGCUGCACAGGUGCCGUUCCGCGGCCUCCGACGGAACCCCCCCACCCCGGGCCUGGCGCACCACGCGCUGCUGCAGGGUCCCACGGGAGCAGCAGGGGCCGGGUGUCCGCUGUCCCCGUGCCCCCGCGCUGUAACCCAGCUAUCGCUGCCCCGCUCUCAUGGCCACGCACAGCAGCAGUACGCGGGGUUAGGGCGCCCCCUCGCGGCGCUCCGCGGUGUUGCGCUGCGUGGCUCCGCGCCGAGUCCACCGGCUCCGCCCCGCUCUACUGCGGCUGCGCAGGGUCUGGCCCCGCCCCCCCCCGGCCGCGGGCUGAGUGCAAAAGGCGGCGGGAAACGGGGGGCGGGAAAACGGGGCCCGGGUGCGUGUGCGCGCGGAGCGGUGCUGGGUUUUCUUUUUUUUCCUCUUUUCCAGGGUAGGGGAUAGAGAGAAAGCGGUUGAAUCUGGAAAAUCCCAACCGUUCAUUUCUCAGUGCCUGCGCCCCAGCCGGCUCAGGGGUCUCUUCUAGCAGCCUUACAGCUCGGACAGCAGCAGGAGGAGCCGUGAACGGAUGUUCCAGCCACGGCUCCGGCUGCAGCGGUUCUAAACCCCCCGGGCCGACAGAUUCUGGCUCCUGCUGUAAAAAUAGCGCAGCUUCGUCCGCCACUUGGAGAGCAGAACCGCCCACGUGGGAGAGCCGCAGCUCCCAGCCCAGCAGAGGCAGCCCACGCCCGUCGGCCCCUGUGCCUGGGGACGGGGCAUCUGCAAAGCCCCGCGUGGGAGCCGUGGAGAUCAGGGAGCUUAUUCUUCAUGGAGAGAAGCAAAAUCACGAUAAUUGCAGUUGGAAGAAACUCCCAGCCCUCAGCCGCUGGGAGCAGCUGUGUCAGCCACCCAGCAGCCCUGCUUGCCUUGGGGACCCAGCACCGGUCCUGAAGAGCACAGCACCAGGGCAGGCCAGGGUGCAGGCAGCUCCACUGCUCGGGCAGCCGGGCCCGCGUUAAGGCCGCUCCGGUUCUCCCAGGAUGGCACCUGCUUUGCGUAGGGCAGCACCCAGCCCUCUGUUCUGGACACUGAGUGAAAAAGAAUAAGCACCUGGAAGGAAAAAAUAAUUGCUUGCUAGUUCAGGCAGCCAGACACAUUCCAGCUUGCACCGGCCCAAUGAGAUGCAGUUAUUUGUACCAGGCCCUGCUACGCCUGCCCUGAAAGCCUUUUCCAUAACAUGUGCAAUACAGGCCAAGGGACGCUGCUGCAUCAGCUCAGCUGCUCCCUCGCAAACAGGGAGAAAGGACUGAAGUCACCACAGAGUCCAUCAAACCACGAGAACCCAUCUCUUCUAGGGCUACCUGAAGACUUUCUCAGCGCAGCAUUUUGCUCCUUUCAGUUAUUCACAGACUACUGAAAACAACAAAGCACACGGGGACGAUGAGAUUUUGUUCUGUUGUGCCCAGCAGGGGCAGCUUUCCCUCUAAACCUGCAUUGCCCCACACCUUGCACCUUGCUCAAGUCUCUGUUCCCCACAAAGCCUUGGUGCCUCCCCCCGCAGCACAGCCUUGCUUUCAGCACACUGAAGCUUUGCAGGCAGAGGAACGAAAUAAAAGAGCCCGUGACCCCUUAUUCCAAACAGUUCACAUUUAUUAUCGAUAACAAUUAAAAAAAAAUCUUUUAAAGACUAUCUGUAUUUUAUUACCAAGAAUGAGGUAUUAUGUAUACAAAACAUGUACAGAAUUUGAUAUGCAGUUCAUGAGGAUGGACAGGUAAGUGCAGAUGGACACGGGUAACAGGAAAAGAAGCCAACAACAGCAGAGUCAUCGGCUGAGAGAAA